rnacentral:miRNA from 8 species
CUCCAGAGGGAAGUAUUUUCU